rnacentral:misc_RNA from 1 species
GAAAUGCGAUAAGUAGUGUGAAUUGCAGAAUUCAGUGAAUCAUCGAAUCUUUGAACGCACAUUGCGCCCCUUGGUAUUCCAUGGGGCAUGCCUGUUCGAGCGUCAUUUGUACCCUCAAGCUCUGCUUGGUGUUGGGUGUUUGUCCCCGUCUCCGCGCGUGGACUCGCCCCAAAGUGAUUGGCAGCCGGCGUACUGGUCCCGGAGCGCAGCACAUGUCGCGCAAACGAGUGCCUUGGUACGGCGGCGUCCAUAAGCCCCUCUCUCGCGCUCUUGACCUCGGAUCAGGUAGGGAUACCCGCUGAACUUCAGC